GACGAACGCUGGCGGCGUGCCUAACACAUGCAAGUCGAGCGGAGUCGAUCGACGGAAGCCUUCGGGCGGAAGAUGGUUGACUUAGCGGCGGAUGGGUGAGUAACGCGUGGGCAACCUGCCUCGAAGACCGGGAUAACAGCCCGAAAGGGCUGCUAAUACCGGAUGUGGUCAAGGAUCCGCAUGGAUUUUUGAUUAAAGGGGAGACCCGUUUCGAGAUGGGCCCGCGUCCUAUCAGCUAGUUGGUGAGGUAAAAGCUCACCAAGGCGACGACGGGUAGCCGGCCUGAGAGGGUGACCGGCCACACUGGAACUGAGACACGGUCCAGACUCCUACGGGGGGCGAGCAGUGGGGAAUCUUCCACAAUGGGCGAAAGCCUGAUGGAGCGACGCCGCGUGAGCGAAGAAGGCCUUCGGUUGUAAGCUCUGUCUGGAGGGACGGAAGGAAGUAGACGGUACCGUCCGGACGGAAGCCACGGCUAACUACGUGCCAGCAGCCGCGGUAAAAGGUAUACUAU
rnacentral:rRNA from 1 species